rnacentral:misc_RNA from 1 species
GAUGAAGAACGUAGCGAAAUGCGAUAAGUAAUGUGAAUUGCAGAAUUCAGUGAAUCAUCGAAUCUUUGAACGCACAUUGCGCCCGCCAGCAUUCUGGCGGGCAUGCCUGUUCGAGCGUCAUUUCAACCCUCAAGCUCUGCUUGGUGUUGGGGCCCUACGGUUGACGUAGGCCCUUAAAGGUAGUGGCGGACCCUCUCGGAGCCUCCUUUGCGUAGUAACUAACGUCUCGCAUUGGGAUUCGGAGGGACUCUUGCCGUAAAACCCCCAAAUUUUCCAAUGGUUGACCUCGGAUCAGGUAGGAAUACCCGCUGAACUUAAGCAUAUCAAUAAGCGGAGGA